rnacentral:rRNA from 1 species
GAUGAACGCUGGCGGCGUGCCUAAUACAUGCAAGUCGAGCGAAUGGAUUAAGAGCUUGCUCUUAUGAAGUUAGCGGCGAACGGGUGAGUAACACGUGGGUAACCUGCACAUAAGACUGGGAUAACUCCGGGACACCGGGGCUAAUACCGGAUAACAUUUUGAACCGCAUGGGUCGAAAUUGAAAGGCGGCUUCGGCUGUCACUUAUGGCUGGACCCGCGUCGCAUUAGCUAGUUGGUGAGGUAACGGCUCACCAAGGCAACGAUGCGUAGCCGAACUGAGAGGGUGAUCGGCCACACUGGGACUGAGACACGGCCCAGACUCCUACGGGAGGCAGCAGUAGGGAAUCUUCCGCAAUGGACGAAAGUCUGACGGAGCAACGCCGCGUGAGUGAUGAAGGCUUUCGGGUCGUAAAACUCUGUUGUUAGGGAAGAACAAGUGCUAGUUGAAUAAGCUGGCACCUUGACGGUACCUAACCAGAAAGCCACGGCUAACUACGUGCCAGCCGCCGCCGUAA